rnacentral:lncRNA from 1 species
AGGCCAACCUUUACAUGUGGGCAACAGAAUCCUCAUCUGAUCAUCGCAUCCUAAAUGAAAUGUGACCUGACUUCGUAUGCGUUUUCAUGACUCGAUCAAAAGAGGGAAGUCGUCUUGCAUAAAUCAUGACUUUUCAAAAAAAAUACAUGAAAUCAAAUUGUUCAGCCCGGAGAACCCAACAGAAACUCAUGGAGGAAUCUGUAAAUGCUGAAGGUGUGUCAGCCCGUGAGCCAGGCAGACGGGAGCCAGG